UACAGAGGUCUCAAGCGUUGUUCGGAUUCAUUGGGCGUAAAGGGUGCGUAGGCGGCGCGGUAAGUCGGGUGUGAAAUCUCGGAGCUUAACUCCGAAACUGCAUUCGAUACUGCCUGCUUGAGGACUGGAGAGGAGACUGGAAUUUACGGUGUAGCGGUGAAAUGCGUAGAUAUCGUAAGGAAGACCAGUGGCGAAGGCGGGUCUCUGGACAGUUCCUGACGCUGAGGCACGAAGGUCAGGGGAGCAAACGGG
rnacentral:rRNA from 1 species